AGAAAAGAAACUAACAAGGAUUCCCCUAGUAACGGCGAGUGAAGCGGGAAGAGCUCAAAUUUGUAAUCUGGCACUUUCAGUGUCCGAGUUGUAAUCUCGAGAAGUAUUUUCCGCGCCGGACCGCAUACAAGUCUGUUGGAAUACAGCGUCAUAGUGGUGAGAACCCCGUAACUGAUGCGGAUGCCCGGUGCUUUGUGAUAUACUUUCGAAGAGUCGAGUUGUUUGGGAAUGCAGCUCAAAUUGGGUGGUAAAUUCCAUCUAAAGCUAAAUAUUGGAGCAAGACCGAUAGCGAACAAGUACCGUGAGGGAAAGAUGAAAAGCACUUUGGAAAGAGAGUUAACAGUACGUGAAAUUGUUGGAAGGGAAACGCUUGAAGUCAGACUUGCUAUUCGGAGUUCAGCCGCAAGGUGUAUUCUUCGAUUUGCAGGCCAGCAUCAGUUUUUGGGGGUGGAAAAUCGUGGUUUGAAGGUAGCAGUUUCGGCUGUGUUAUAGCUUUCCACUGGAUUCAUCUUCGGGGACUGAGGAACGCAGUACGCUUUUUGCAAGGCUCUCGAGCUUUUCGUACUUAGGAUGCUGGUGGAAUGGCUUUAAACGACCCG
rnacentral:rRNA from 1 species